AUACCUUCAUCCAACGCCGAUUUAUGGCUCUAGUUGGGUAUGAAGGAUUUAUUCUUCUUGCGAAUGAAAUCGAGCAGCCAAUGAUCCUCGAAACUCUGAAAUAGUUAGCCGGCUUUUAAAUCUUCUAUGUAAGAAGAUAUUUAGACCUCUGCAAAAGGAAGCAAAACAAAAAAAAAAACUAAAACUAAAACUAAAACUAAAAGAAGAUAGCCACAAUGGCUAAGAUAAAACUCGCACUUAGACGAGAGGAUAUACAAAUCCAG
rnacentral:lncRNA from 1 species